GGGACUGUGGCUCAGUGGGAGAGCACCCACUGGGCAUGCAGAAGGUCCCAAGUUCAAUCCUGGGCAUCCCCC
rnacentral:tRNA from 1 species